rnacentral:rRNA from 1 species
GCACGGAGUUAGCCGGCAGCUUAUUCUCCAGGUACUGUCAUUAUCAUCCCUGGUAAAAGAGCUUUACAACCCUAAGGCCUUCAUCACUCACGCGGCAUUGCUGGAUCAGGCUUUCGCCCAUUGUCCAAUAUUCCCCA